rnacentral:rRNA from 1 species
AACGAACGCUGGCGGCAUGCCUAACACAUGCAAGUCGAACGAGACCUUCGGGUCUAGUGGCGCACGGGUGCGUAACGCGAGGGAACCUGCCCUUAGGGUCGGAAUAACUACCCGAAAGGGGUGCUAAUACCGGAUAAUGUCUUCGGACGAAAGAUUUAUCGACUUUGGAUGGGCCCGCGUUGGAUUAGAUAGUUGGUAGGGUAAAAGCCUACCAAGGCGACGAUCCAUAGCUGGGCUGAGAGGAUGAUCAGCCACACUGGGACUGAGACGCGGCCCAGACUCCUACGGGAGGCAGCAGUGGGGAAUAGUGGAAAAUGGGCGAAAGCAUGAUCCAGUAAUGACGGUUGAGUGAUGAAGGCCUGAGGGUUGUAAAGCUCUUGUACCCGGGAUGAUAAUGACAGUACCGGGAGAAUAAGCCCCGGCUAACUCCGUG